CCUACGGGAGGCAGCAGUAGGGAAUCUUCCACAAUGGGCGAAAGCCUGAUGGAGCAACGCCGCGUGGGUGAAGAAGGUCUUCGGAUCGUAAAACCCUGUUGUUAGAGAAGAAAGUGCGUGAGAGUAACUGUUCACGUUUCGACGGUAUCUAACCAGAAAGCCACGGCUAACUACGUGCCAGCAGCCGCGGUAAUACGUAGGUGGCAAGCGUUAUCCGGAUUUAUUGGGCGUAAAGGGAACGCAGGCGGUCUUUUAAGUCUGAUGUGAAAGCCUUCGGCUUAACCGGAGUAGUGCAUUGGAAACUGGGAGACUUGAGUGCAGGAGAGGAGAGUGGAACUCCAUGUGUAGCGGUGAAAUGCGUAGAUAUAUGGAAGAACACCAGUGGCGAAAGCGGCUCUCUGGGCUGUAACUGACGCUGAGGUUCGAAAGCGUGGGUAGCAAACAGGAUUAGAUACCCGAGUAGUC
rnacentral:rRNA from 1 species